ensembl:lncRNA
GUGAUGCCGUACAACCUCAGGAUAGGUGGGAAAAGGCCUUACUGCCUGGGUCUUUUGAGAUGCUUGUCCUAGGGGAAGCUAGACACCAGGUAUGAAGUCCAGCUACCCGGAGUUGACUGUACUGGAGGGGCUGUGUGUAGGCUCUCUAGUCAACAGCCCAUUCAGCCUAGUUGAACCUUCAGAUACUGCAGCUCCAGCCGACAUCUGGCUGUAACCAAUAGAGAGAGACCUCAAGUGAGAACUGCUCAGCCAUGCUCUUCCUGAACCUUUGACCCACAAAAUCAGUUGGGAUUUUUGAAAGGGAGAUUUCAACGCUGGUGCAGUUCUUGGUGAUGACAAAGUCAGAGCUGGCUACAGGAACCUGUGGCUGAAGUGGAGUGGAGGAAAAGGUUGUUGGAAGUGACCCAGAGGCCGCGAUGUUGGAUUGGCCCUGAGCUAACUACUACCAGUCCUCCUCUUUUUGCUGAGGAAGCCUGGCCCUGAGCUAACAUCCGUGCCCGUCUUCCUCUACUUUGUAUGUGGGAUGCCUACCACAGCAUGGCGUGCCAAGCGGUGCCAUGUCUGCAUCCGGGAUCCGAAACGGCGAACCCUGGGCCGCUGAGAAGCAGAACGCACGAACUUAACCACUGCACCACCGGGCCGGCCCCAGGCCACUUUAUUUCUAUGAACGCAGCCUACAGUUGCCUUAGCUUGCUGGGCAGCAACACUGCUCUUGAUUCUCUGAGGUGGUCUACUCGAGCCGAUUCCUGCCGCUGUGACAGGAACUGAAUUUCAGCCAAGUUGUCUUCAUCUUUUAACUUGCGCAAUUGAUUUUUUGAACUUAAGUGCAGGGCUAUAUUGUUUAUCACUACAAAAUUCCAUCUUGUUAGAGUCACUCCCAUUUGUUCUAUCCUGUUGAUGGACUUUGAUUUGGAUUACAUCAGCUAAUAUACCGUAUUUCAUCAAAUACAAGACUCUUUUAAUUGUAAGAUAGACCGUUUUUAAAAGAUUUACCACAAAGAAGAGAUAUUGCCAAGUUAAUUAUGACAUGCAAUUGAUUGUGUGAUGCAUCUGAUUUUAGACAUGUUAAAAUGUGCAUCCUAGAAUUAGUGAAAUAUGGUAUCAAUAAAUUCACAUUCUGUCAUUUGCAAUUUGGUAAUCAUAUUCUCCACGGCACCAUUUAUUGGGAGGUCAUAAAAUGCAGCCACUGAUGAGAAUGUUAAACUGGCCAGGGCCAAGGAGAGGGAGUCUGGUGGACUUCUACAGGGAACUCAGGUUUGCUUGUUCAUUUGUUUGUAUACCCACUCAUCAAAUAAAUAGUAAUUUAUCCAGUGAAUGCACAAAGGACUCAGGUUACAAAAAUGAAGAAGACCUGGUCCCUUCAAUCCCAAUCUGGGUUUCACGCCUUAAUCUGUGAAGGCGCACUCUCUGGGCCUGGCUGUUCAGGCCCCUCAGAAUCCCCUUAACUGAACUAUUAUCCACAUCGGAACUUGAGGCUCAGUCAGGAAGGGCGACUGGAGGAGGACGGGACAGAGCAGGGAAGAGGCCAGGACCUAGGACCAGGGGUGGGGGCACGGCCGGGUGGCAGGGAUAGGGAAGUGAGUAAGUAAGGAGGUCACAACGCCUGAAGUGGGGGUGAGUUCCGUCACGGCCGGGAAAUAGUUAGACUCAG